AGUGAACGCUGGCGGUAGGCCUAACACAUGCAAGUCGAACGGCAGCACAGUGAGAGCUUGCUCUUACGGGUGGCGAGUGGCGGACGGGUGAGGAAUACAUCGGAAUCUACUUUUUCGUGGGGGAUAACGUAGGGAAACUUACGCUAAUACCGCAUACGACCUACGGGUGAAAGCAGGGGAUCUUCGGACCUUGCGCGAUUGAAUGAGCCGAUGUCGGAUUAGCUAGUUGGCGGGGUAAAGGCCCACCAAGGCGACGAUCCGUAGCUGGUCUGAGAGGAUGAUCAGCCACACUGGAACUGAGACACGGUCCAGACUCCUACGGGAGGCAGCAGUGGGGAAUAUUGGACAAUGGGCGCAAGCCUGAUCCAGCCAUACCGCGUGGGUGAAGAAGGCCUUCGGGUUGUAAAGCCCUUUUGUUGGGAAAGAAAAGCGGCAGGUUAAUACCCCGCUGUUCUGACGGUACCCAAAGAAUAAGCACCGGCUAACUUCGUG
rnacentral:rRNA from 1 species